GGCUCGUUCUGGAGUGAUCUCCGAUUGUCGAAAAGCAACAAUGUCGUGGAGACCGAUGCUAUUAAGAGCAGAUGAUCUGAGAGUCUCCGGCAAGGCGAUCCCGAACAGAGACGAGGAGGCUGUGGAAUCAGCGAGGUCGAGGACCUGAGCUCCGGCGACACUACCAUCGGAGAAGAGCGGAGAGAGGUCAAUGUCUCUUAGCUGUGUGCCG
rnacentral:misc_RNA from 1 species